rnacentral:lncRNA from 1 species
CAGGAGAUAGAAAGAGAAACAAAAAGGGGGAACACGCAAGAGCAAGAAGAUAAGAUAGAGAAAGAAAUAUGAGGGUGGCAGCGGUGGUUCUACGGCGGCGCAAGCCAUCAUCGCAAGUAUCGUCAUCAUAUUCAAGAUAACCUUAUGGUAGGUUAUCACCCAGUUGUGAGGAGCAAUUAAACAUAGCUGUCACAGGAUCGUUUUACAACGAAGGGGAAUUGAAUAUUGUUGUUCAACAUGUUAUCUCGCUGAUAUAUAAAUUGAACCCUUUUAGUUUUGAGAAUAAUGGAUACACACGUGUAAAGCCAUUGUAGUUGGAAGGGACAAGAUAUUCAGCUACGAGCAGUUGCUGUUAAAUAAGAUUCAAGGAGAAAAGCCAGAUGAUGGAUGUGUACUUUGGGAUUGCUUCCAGAGUGAUUGGGAUCAGGAAGAGAGAUACAGAGGGAGACCCGGUGACUAAUUAAAAUGCUAAGCAUGAACGAUUGCACAUGUGUCACACAUAACUCUUUGCUGCUGCUUGUUAUUCUGCAAAAAUCAAGUUGAUUGCUUUGGGUGAGAUAUUUGAAGCUGUAAGAAGUAUGGUUGCAGUUAAAUUAGGUGUGAGUCAUCAUGUAAAAUGCCUUCUUAACUUUUUUGUUCAAUUAAACUACGUCACCAGUUGAGUUGAGAUGAGCUAUCUCUUUGUCGAAUCAUUCCACACAUCUACUGCCUCUGCAUUGCUUUUGGUUCCAAGGACGUGUGUUUGGACUCUUGAAGAUAUUGCUUGUGGAUAUUGCAGAAUGAAUCAACUUUGAUGAAUAGUGGCAACGUUUAGAAGCAUUUGGUGUUGAUGCUAAGAAUCAUGGUUGUUUCUUCAACGUCAGUGAAUACAAAAACUAGGUUCAAGUUGCGAGUUCUUCGGUUAGAGUACGAUAAGGUGUUCUGUUCAUUUGUAUUAUCGAUUAGGAAUAUAGGGUUUUAAACAUCAUAUUACUUUCUUCUAAAUGCGUUGGUUCGACUUAUUUUUUCUCUAUAACGGGUCAAAUGUGUCAAAAGAAAGAUGGCUAAAAAGGAAG